AGAAUCAACGCUGGCGGCGUGCCUAACACAUGCAAGUCGAACGCGAAAGCCCCGAAAGGGGCAAGUAGAGUGGCAAACGGGUGAGUAACACGUGGGUGACCUGCCUUCGAGCGGGGGAUAACGUCCCGAAAGGGACGCUAAUACCGCAUAACAUCCUGCCUUUGAAGAGGUGGAGAUCAAAGCUGGGGAUCGCAAGACCCGGCACUUGAAGAGGGCCCGCGUCCGAUUAGCUAGUUGGUGGGGUAAUGGCCUACCAAGGCAACGAUCAGUA
rnacentral:rRNA from 1 species